AACAGAUCCCCCUACAACAUAUACCUACAGCACUACUGGGGGGCCUUUCACAGUUGGACCAGAUGGUUAUGUAAGACUGACCACUAAUAAUGCACUGGAUCAUGAACAGACUAAAGCCUACACUCUUACUGUUGUAAUAACAGAACAGACAGCAGAAAAGUUUGCAGCCACAGCAACAGUGUCUGUGAAUGUACUAAAUGUCAACGAUGUGGCUCCUAGUGUUCUGUCUACUGAUAGCUACAUCAUUCAAGUGCCUCAAGGAAACUAUACUACAGUAAUCCGUGAUCUUGUUACAGUGACUGCAACAGACCAGGAUGGACCAGCCUUGACUUAUUCACUUAAACGUGUGUCUCCUGCUGUCAGUGCUGCCAAAUUUAGUGUACUUAGUACUGGCCUGGUCAAACUACAAGGGGCAGUCACUGCAGGAGAAGUGUACACUGUUUACGUUAAUGUUUCUGAUGGGGGGACACCACUCCUAAGUGCUGAAGCUGCUGUUGUCGUGACUGUGGUCCCACUAGCCAACCAAGCUCCAGCUUUCACCUCCCCCAGCUACACCA